AUUCUUCUGAAGUUUCAGAAGCAAGGCUGGGUUUUUGACAGUAUUGCAUGAGAUGUGCUUCCCUUACACAUUUUCACAACAUCAAUAUGUUACCCAUCUGAUC
rfam:Dipodomys ordii contig_52580, whole genome shotgun sequence.